UACGGGGGGAGCAAGCGUUGUUCGGAUUUACUGGGCGUAAAGGGCGCGUAGGCGGCCUGUGCAAGUCAGUUGUGAAAUCUCCGAGCUUAACUCGGAACGGUCAACUGAUACUGCUCGGCUAGAGUGCGGAAGGGGCAACUGGAAUUCUUGGUGUAGCGGUGAAAUGCGUAGAUAUCAAGAGGAACACCUGCGGCGAAGGCGGGUUGCUGGACCGACACUGACGCUGAGGCGCGAAAGCUAGGGGAGCGAACGGG
rnacentral:rRNA from 1 species